rnacentral:rRNA from 1 species
UAAGGAAUAUUGCUCAAUGGGAGAAAUCCUGAAGCAGCAACGCCGCGUGGAGGAUGAAGGGUCUAUGACUUGUAAACUCCUGUAAAGAAGGAAAAAAUUCCCAUUUGAUGGGAGAUGAUGGUACUUCUGGAGUAAGCCCCGGCUAACUACGUGCCAGCAGCCGCGGUAAUACGUAGGGGGCAAGCGUUGUCCGGAUUUACUGGGUGUAAAGGGUGCUCAGGCGGAUUCGUAAGUCAGAGGUGAAAUCUUACAGCUUAACUGUGAAACUGCCUUUGAUACUGCAAGCCUAGAGUAUGGAAGAGAGUGAUGGAAUAUCUGGUGUAGCAGUGAAAUGCGUAGAUAUCAGAUAGAACACCAAUGGCGAAGGCAGUCACUUGGUCCAUUACUGACGCUAAAGCACGAAAGCGUGGGUAGCAAACA